UAGCUGGUUCUCUCCGAAAUAGCUUUAGGGCUAGCGUCGAUGUUAAGUCUCUUGGAGGUAGAGCACUGUUUGGGUGAGGGGUCCAUCCCGGAUUACCAAUCUCAGAUAAACUCCGAAUGCCAAUGAGAUAUAAUCGGCAGUCAGACUGCGAGUGCUAAGAUCCGUAGUCGAAAGGGAAACAGCCCAGACCACCAGCUAAGGUCCCAAAAUAUAUGUUAAGUGGAAAAGGAUGUGGGGUUGCACAGACAACUAGGAUGUUAGCUUAGAAGCAGCUAUUCAUUCAAAGAGUGCGUAAUAGCUCACUAGUC
rnacentral:rRNA from 1 species